rnacentral:lncRNA from 1 species
ACUUGGGGACAGGAUAGGGUAGCAUCUUUACAUCUUUACAUGUCAUUGGCCUGGAAUAGGGGGUCCUGAAGGGUUUGUCGUAAGAAAGAGAAAGUGCUCAUUGCUGCAAGGGGAGCACAGCCGGGUUCUGAGAGGCAAAACACUUCCCUCACUUCCCACCCAAGAGUUUCGCCUGUUCUCUCGACCCUCUGAGGUGUGCAUUGGUGUCACUCACUGGCCACCAUUCCAGCUCUUAAUUCCUCUGCCUUUUGUGCUGGCCUUUGGGGCUCCCCUGAGGAUGACUGGUUCUCAGGUUGCCCCUGGAGGAAUGGGUGGAGUUGUAAGAUCAGGAAUAAAGCUAGAGAGGGAGGACCAAGGGGAAGUCACUGAUGCAGCCGCCGUCUAGCCCAUCCCACCCCGAUUGAGAGGUCGCUUUUUCCUGUUGAACAUGUUGGAUAGUGGAAUGUGUUAUAAGAAGUGAUAUGUGUGGCUUCUUGUCAUUGCAGGAUUGUCAGCUGACCUCUGUCCUGUGUGCCCAGUGGCCCCAGGUGACGUGUCUUCAAGAAGAGGCUGAGCUGCGGUGCUUGUAAGAGUCAUGUGCUGUUCCUGGGGCUUGGAUGAUGUAGGGGAAGCAAGGUGAAAGUGGUAUCCCGUGGUUCCACGUUCUGUCCUGCUGUGGGGCUGUCCCUCACAUGCUUUCAGUGGCUGUUGCAGAGGAAGAGCCUCCGGAAAUCUGCGUGGGUAAAGUGAGCUCCCCGGGGGAACCGUCCUCCUCCCUUGAGCGCUGGUGUGUCCAUAGUGUGCUGUGAUCUGGAUUAGCAGUGAGUUUUUCUUUCAGGGUGUGUGUGUAUGAUGUUAGGACCAUAUGCUCCUGACCUUUUCCAACCCAAAAGCGUUUCCAUUUUUUUAAUGCUGGAAGUGUCUUAACUCCUUUUGGGGUCUUAGAAGGACACACGGUGGCCGUGGCUGGGCCUCUGCUCAGCUGGGCUGCUCUCCCUGCCUCAGGCCCUUGACACCAGCCUCCCUCCCUUGCUGGCUCUCUUUCUGUCCUUCCCUGCUCUUGUAUCCAAAAGUGAUCAUGGGUUGCCUGUGUCCCGAUCAUUAACAGUGCAGGGGUAGGAGUGCUGAAAGACAUCUUCCCUGCGUUGGUCCAGCCUUCCCUUUCAAACCCUGGAGCUUUCCCACGCUGCAGCCUUUUUCCAACUAGGCUUUCAGAGCUUGGGCCUUUGUGGGCCCAUGUGAUGUGGUGACUAGACCCACCCCCUGACUUCUGAGGGUUCAUUUUGUCUUUUCAUGUUAGGGAUCCUCCUGCCAGAAACCAGUCUGCAUUUCUCUCUGGGCCCCACGCUGGAAUGAAUUCAGAUAGCAGUGAAGGGCACACGUGAGAACUGCGAAUCACGGGCUUUGCUUCAUGAAAUGUGAAAUCCACAUUGUUUCCACAGGCACCAUCAGUAAUGUCGAACAAAUGGAGAAAGUUGCAGGUGGGGCUAGGAAAGCUGUAUUCCUGUGGAUUACUCUAGCUGGUCAUUUGCCCCGAUUGUGAACUGCUUGAAAGAAAAACGAAACUUCUAAGAUGUUUGUCCUUUCAUGUCCUUUCUGUUGGGAUUUUUUAUUUGGUGUGCGUGAAUGAGGAGCUUCGCCCUGCUUGAAUGGGACCCCUCUCAGUGGUGUCAGCUUGGGGAGGAGGAGAUGGCCCUGGAGACUAAAUACUUGUAUGCUUUCUUACCCUCUUAGGUCUCAGCCUUAGAUCCAAGGACAGUCCAAGGAAGUCCUAAGACCAUGGAGUUGGUGAUCUGGGAUCUGGGUUUGCUGAUAUUUCUCACCGUGAAUCUCUUGGUGGUGUUUGUGGGCACGAGAGGGGCAGAGAAUGGAGAGUGAGGCUACCACAUGAAGCGUCACCAGAGCUGCUCCCUGCUGCCUGCUCAGAGCACCCCGGAUCCACUGUUCAAUCUGCACAAGAUUCGGGGUCCAGACAUGGGAGACUUCAGCUGCCUCAGAGGACCGUGGACAGGGAAGGCCAGCCUCGCAUCCCUCUGUCCAUGCCUGGAAUGACUUUAAUAACCAAGAGUUUUAUUUUUGAAUUUGUAGCUGUCGUUCACUUUUUACCCACCCAUUCAAUAAACCUUACAGAAUUGCUCCA